UGAAUGAACCAAUUCUAAUUUUGAAACCUUU
rnacentral:piRNA from 2 species